rnacentral:rRNA from 1 species
CACGUAGGGCGCAAGCGUUGUCCGGAAUUAUUGGGCGUAAAGAGCUCGUAGGUGGUUUGCUGCGUCCGCUGUGAAAACCCAAGGCUUAACCUUGGGCUUGCAGUGGAUACGGGCAGACUAGAGGUAGGUAGGGGAGAAUGGAAUUCCCGGUGUAGCGGUGAAAUGCGCAGAUAUCGGGAGGAACACCGGUGGCGAAGGCGGUUCUCUGGGCCUUACCUGACACUGAGGAGCGAAAGCGUGGGGAGCGAACGGG